CAACAACAUAAAUAUAUCUAUUUUUAAUCAUUCCAUUGAUAUUAUCCAGAAAAAUAUGUUGAAUGAUAAAAACAGUGAAGAUACAAAGUUUAGUAUUUGAUUUUUUUUUAUUGAAACAGUAUGAGCAAAAACACUGCAAUUAAAUAAAAGUAUACAAAUUAAAGCAAAAAAAAUAGAAGAGCGAGUUGUUACUAUGUGGUAAUAGGGGCCAGGGCGGGGUGCACAGGGCUGUGAAGAUAGAUAACGUUGCAAAUGUUUGCGGUGUCUAAAGCCUCGCCAUUAAACGUUAGAUCACUCGUUCAGUGCACGACAAUUAAACGGAGAUUCUAAAAUCAAGCAGAGCUAAGCAGAGUUAAUUUUUUUUUUUUUACAACCAUUAUUGAACGUACAAAUGCGAGAAUAAGAACAAGAAACUAAUAAACAAAACAAGAACAACAAAAUACACGACAGGGCGUCGCUGCCUUACACUGAGCACUAAAAUCAAAAAAGUAGUUCAUCUCUGUCAGCUGGGGUUUUGCUUGUGUUUGUCCAUGGCUGUUUUGGUGUACUUGCUAGUUGGGUGAGUGCUGCUGUGCUAUAAAUACAUUCAGUAAGUAAAUGCUACACAUUGUCUAUGAAACACUGAGAUGUGUUAAUAUACGAUGGCCAUUCGGAUGGGAGGAAGCCAAACGUUUUUAUUAAGGACCAGCUGACGUAAAAUAGACCUGUACUUGGCCAUUCACACUAAUGCCGCUUUCAAAUCCUCCCCAACUAAACUAGGUGGAAUACCAGAGAGACAGUGGCACAAACCCUUCUGCUGAAUUUCACAGAUAUGUACUAUGUUUUUAUAAGUCAGUGUUAAAUAGGGCAGAAUGUGUCACGUUACCCCUUGCAAAUGAAGGUGUCUAGUUUCCUAUCAGGCUCUCUACGUUAGCCCUUGUCAGAACAACAUCUGCACUAUGUGCUUCAUGCGAUUGUCUGAGGUUCCGUUUUAUGUCAAGUUACUUUGGCAAGGUAACUCAACUUUGGCUGGUGUUCUGAAUACUUUUCUAAUUGUUCUUUGGACAUAGCAGCAGCAGCAGAGUCUGAAUGGCUGCUGUUUGGGCUUCCCUGUGUUAGUAGAAGGCUAAAGGUAAGAGAAACGGUGAAGAGAUGGAUAGAAAUUAUCUGUGGACUAAGUCAGCUCCUCACAUUUGACUGUAUAUGUACAUCCUUUUGGAAUUCGUAGCAUCCUUUCGCCGAACUUCCUCACUUGAUAAAACUUUUAUUUUGUUUGAAGGAAAACUAACAUGGAGCCAUUCGCGGCCUCUUUCUUGUCGCAUUAACUGGUCUUGAGAUAAACACCGCCCACUUCCAGAGGUUGCAGGCUCACAGCACCAUCGGCCAAAUAACUUAGUAGCACGUCUCUUUGAUAGACGCAAACAAAUGGGCCUUGAAGGUCUUCUAGAGAAUUCGCCCCACCAUGUUGGGUUGUGGGGGGGGGGGGUGUAGUCGGUGUGGGUGAAUGGAGAUGAGGGGUGGGGUGGUGGUGGUUGGUGGAGCUGCGGGAGGAGCUGCGGAUGAUUGCUUGUCCUUUUUCUUCUCCACCAGCCCACCGACACAAACAUAUAAGCAUACACACACACACAGACACACAAACACAAAGACACAGGCGCACACACAGGCGUACUCACACACACACACACACACACACACAAACUCUGAAUAACACAGACGCACACACGCACACUCUCACACACUCUCACACACUCUCACACACACACACACACACACACACACACACACACACACACACACACACACACACACACACACACACACACACACUAGUGCUUGACUAGUGCUGAUAGCAUGGUUGUUUAAUGACAGGAAAUGACAUCACAUUUCAGUAGUUCACAAUUUCCAGAACUCUGGGCGCUCCUGCCUCUUUGUUUUUCCUUCUUUCCUUCAUGGACUGUGGGAAACAGAGAGAAAAGAAGAAGAAGGGGUUACAAUACAGCGAUGGCUGGGGAAGGACAAAGGGCUGCAGCAAACCCAAUGUGUUCAACCCCUGAACUUCAGAUAACAUUCAGAGGAGAAGAAUGGCUGGGUCCAGGGGUAGGCUUCUGCUUCAGCGUUGUUUAGGGACGGGUUAUUGAAGGCCUCUGUGAGGAGUUCUGCUCAUUGAUCCAUGAUCUCGUCCUGAAUUAGGGGGCUAUUUUGACUUGCCAGUGGUGCAGGCAUUCAAAGAGAAGUCUAGGAGGCAGGGCUUGGUUUGGUCUGGUUCAAUUUAGAAAUUGUGGCUUUAAACGUAGCCAUUAAUUGCCGCAGCAAAAUUUGAUUGGAAACCGGUUGCAAGCAAUGGAAUAUUGCUGCGAUCAUUGAAGUGAAACCUAACAUUGGCCAAUCCACCCAUAUGUUUAUGCCUGCAAGACAGAUAAAAGAAGACUUGAUGAUUAAAGCUGUGGGUGUGUUUAUGAUAGAUAAAAAAGCCACAAGCUCCUCAUAGCUUCCUCUUCUCUCAAAUGUUGAUUAUCUGGACGGAAACUGAAGUAAUCUUCGGUAUAGCCGUAGUGUUUAAUACAAGUAGUUAUGGUUUAAUGACAGACUUUCAGACCGAAAGGGUUACAUUUGUAUGAGCCCAACAUGAGAAAGGCUAACAGACAAGACAUAGAAACACAAGUUAGGACGAGAUUGUUGGGUCAGUGGUCAACAAAGCGUGCCAGGGUGUUCUGUUAAGACUAGACUCCACACAGUAUUAAGCAGGGGUCUCAAGUCAUUUAGCACGAGGUGGGGUAAAAAAAAACGAAUAUAUAAUGAUGUAUAUAUUACAGAAACCAAGAUGCCCGCUUUCUUUUCACGAUCUUGGCUUUCUUGGCGGCCCUGCGACACAGAGACACAGCGGCAUCCCGGUGCCACCCUGCUCUCAGAUGGGCGUGGUGCGAUGGAAAAACAGCUGUUAUUUCCAAGACGUGCUUCAUCAUCAUCAUCAUCAUCAUUUUUUCCCACUUGGCGCAUUUCAUGGCCUUGGGGCGCUUCUGCUGGAGAGUUGGAAGUCUCUGUUCCAGCAUCAGCAGGAUGUCUGGAUUCGACAUCACAUCGCGCCAUCAGUCAGGGUUAGGUGCUUUGUCAAAGACACCUCGACACUCUGCUUGGUGAAGCCGGGGAUCGAACCAACAACCUUCAGGUUACCAGCCAACCCGCUCUACUACUUGAGCUACUGCCGCCCUACUUCGCCAUGCGCAUCCCGGCCGGUUGUGGUCUGAAUGACAGCGCAGUAUUCUGAGACAGGCCCGAGUGUCCGACGUCUCUCGGAAGGGGAUUCGCACCGACGCCUAUGUCAUUCAAAGCUAUUGCAUCAUGGGAAUCAUGCGUGGUGGCGUAAGUUGCCGGUGAUCACGACACAGGCAUGCGUGUCUGCCACGAGCGUGCACGCGCACUUCUGUAAAUAUGCCAAAGGCUGGUGAGUAUUUGUGUGUUUUUGAUGACCAAGGGAAGGGAGGUACUUACGAGUAUUUGCCCAUCCUCCUCACGAGGGCGAUGACCACAGCGAUGACGAUGACGAUCGCGAUCAAGGCGCCGAUGACCACUCCGGCCAUCUGGCCCGAACUCAUCCCUGCUGCACGACAGAAAAAAAAAACAUAUUUUGACAAGUUCUACUUGCUUCUCUACAUCACUGAUAAUCAAAUAUAAUGGUUUGGAUUUGAUUCGAUGAUCCAAACAAAGGGCCAUUUUCUAAACCAUUUCUACCCAAGUGCCACAAACAACAGCUUGGUUUGGAUGCUAUCCUAUACGUGAGCUUGGUUUGAAUGCUAGCCCAUUUCGUUAGCCUGGUUUGAAUGCUAUCCUAUACGUUAGCUGGAUUUGAAUGCUAUCUUAUACGUGAGCUUGGUUUGAAUGCAAGCCCAUUUCGUUAGCUUGGUUUGAAUGCUAUCCUAUACGUUAGCUGGAUUUGAAUGCUAGCCCAUUUCGUUAGCUUGGUUUGAAUGCUAUCCUAUACGUGAGCUUGGUUUGAAUGCUAGCCCAUUUCGUUAGCUUGGUUUGAAUGCUAUCCUAUACGUGAGCUUGGUUUGAAUGCUAGCCCACAUUAGCCCCGACAUAGCGCCCACAUUGCCCUCACCAUCACCAUCAUCCAUUUGCACAUCAACCUUUGUGCUAGUAUCCACAAGGUUGUCCGUGGGUGCCGCUGUCUUCCCCGCGUCGACCUCUGCCGUAGUCUCAGCCGCCGCUUCCGUCACCACCGCUGGCGAGUGAGUCUCCGCAGCCGGGGACUCCACGAGGGCGGCCUGGGUGGUGAAAGCGUCUUCCACGGUCGCCUGCGCCGUCGCAGCCUCUGUUUCGGAUACGGUGGCCGCCCCGGUGGCGACCUCUAGGGUGGCCUGUGUGUCGGCUUCUACGGUGGCCUCUCUGGGGUCUUCUGGGGUGGCCUCGGUGGCGGUCUCCGUGGCGACCUCUGAGGUGGCUUCUGUGGUGACUUCGGCGGGGAGAGCUUCUGGUACGGUCGCGGGGGCCCUGGUGAACACCUCGUGCACUUUAGGCGUUACCUCGGGUGCGCCCCCCAUUUCUUCGGGGAGACCGGUGGGACCUAGGGGGACAAGCAGGAGGAUGAGUUAGAGGAUACAGGUGGAUGAUCGAUGGUUGGAUGUGGAAUGUGGGGAUGGACGGAUGGAUAGAUGGAUGGAAGGAGGAAGGAUGUGCGGUUGAUGGAAUAUAUAUGCUAUGCUGUAAAGUAGCCCUAAAUUUAAUCAGUGACACCUAAAUCCUGAUCCAGUGUGUUUAUACAAUGCCCCUUCCCUGGCCCCUUUUGGUGAGUCCCAGGGUUAGAUAUUCAUACUCCUCUUGGACACAUAAAGUUUUUUCACAGUCUCCCACAUCCUCUGUCAGGGCGUCAUCCCCGUGAGCUCAUCCUGUCCGCCUCCCUCCUGCACACCAUGUUACCAUGACCCCCAAAAAAC
ensembl:lncRNA